AUCGAGCUGACAAGUUCCAAAUAGGACGAAACGCAUGUGCUAGAU
rnacentral:hammerhead_ribozyme from 1 species